UCAAUAUCAUCAAAGUGUAGGGUCGUAUAAAACACUCAAUUGAAACCCACUUUAGUUUAAUGUAUAAAUAUAGCAACAGUAAAUAUUUCCAUAGUAAGAUUAAUAUUUCUUGAAAGAUUUUUAAUUUGGCGUAAAAGGUCAAGGCAAUUUUUUAUAGACAGCUUUAGCCCCCUGCCCUUCCGUUUCAAGCAAGUUCUCGUUGAAUAUCAGGUUAACAUUCCGGCAGAAUUCCAAACCUAUCACAUUACAUGCAUUGGAUUUCACACUGCAUUCUGCGCUGAGUCCACAAGGCUAGAUUCAAACCUUGGUGUAAUAACCCGUUAGAUCUUUGGAUUUGUGGUAGUAACGGGGAAAAGUACGCUGGUUGAUUUGACUGCCGUGGAAUUGCUGUGCAAGGUUCAGUGGCGAUAAACGACACCUUAUCAAAUAUCCUAAGACAUCACCCAUAUAUCCGUAUUUGGCUGUGCGCAAGCUUCAUAUCCGACAAGCAUUUGUGCGCAAAGCUUGCCAACAUACAACAGAGAGUGAACUAAGAAAUUUAAACUCUAUCAAGCACAGGGCAAGACUUCAAACCGUGUGUUUAUAUUGCGUGUUGAUUGUGGAGUUGGAGUAUCCUAAAUUUCCAAUUGAGGUAUGAUUUAAUAGAAAUGAAAUCUAACCUGAUGCGUGCUGUUUGCUUUACAUAACCUCUAUGAAAAGCCAUUUGCGCGAUGAUGGUAGAGAUUACAUUGCAUGUUUAUGAUAUCAUAGCUAGAAAUGGUUCCCACGAGAGCGCGCAGAUGUAACAGACUUUUUUUCUCUUUACAGACUUUAAUCCAAUAGGCAAUAACGUUCGUGAGCAGAUCGCUGUUACCUGUCGACCUCUACACUGUUUUCGAGGUAAAUAUUAUAGAUAAUUUAUACACUUGCGAAAUUAUACGAUCAACUGUCUGAAAUAUAUUACAAAAUCUUUUGCGUUUUCAAAGAAGGCCACUAACCCCCAGCCGAAUGGCCUUGGCUUGAACCUACAACCCCUCAACAGGCCUCAAAUAUAUCGUUGAUCGUCACUGGAACCCCACAUGCAUGAUGUAUAUACUUAUAUAACCUACAUAUACUCUUCUAUGAAAAUAUACACAGUUGUAUAAAGAUGCGCAAAUGUAAUAGACUUUUUUUCUUUAUUCUUUAGCGACUCGCUGUUAUCGGAGUAGCGCGCAGUGUUAGAUUUAGUCAUUCAUAGUGUGUGUUCUGUGCUGCACUGUAUCUAAUAUCUUGCUGGGAAAUAUGCGGUCUAACGUGUGGGUUGUCCUUACUUUGCUGUGUCUUCCAG